rnacentral:rRNA from 1 species
UACGUUAGGGGUGCGAGCGUUUAAUCGGAAUUACUGGGGCGUUAAAGCGUGCGCAGGCGGGUGAUGUAAGACCCGAUGUGAAAUCCCCGGGGCUUUAACCCUGGGGAACUGCAUUGGGUGACUGCAUUGCUGGAGUAUGGCAGAGGGGGGGUGGGAAUUCCCACGUGUAGCAGUGAAAUGCGUUAGAGAUGUGGGAGGGAACACCGAUGGGCGAAGGGCAGCCCCCCCCUGGGCCAAUACUGACGCUCAU